rnacentral:rRNA from 1 species
AGCAGCCGCGGUAAUUCCAGCUCCAAUAGCGUAUAUUAAAGUUGUUGCAGUUAAAAAGCUCGUAGUUGAAUUUCGGGACCAAUAUGUCGGUCGUGCCUCGGUACGUACUGGUGUCAUUGGUUUCUCUCUUCUGAGGAUCCUUGAUGUCAUUAAUUUGGUGUCUUGGGAAAUCAGGACUGUUACCUUGAAAAAAUUAGAGUGUUUAAAGCAGGCAUACGCUUGAAUACAUUAGCAUGGAAUAAUGAAAUAGGACGUUCGAUUCUAUUUUGUUGGUUUCUAGGAUCGACGUAAUGAUUAAUAGGGAUAGUUGGGGGCAUUAGUAUUCAAUUGUCAGAGGUGAAAUUCUUGGAUUUAUUGAAGACUAACUACUGCGAAAGCAUUUGCCAAGGAUGUUUUCAUUAAUCAAGAACGAAAGUUAGGGGAUCGAAGACGAUCAGAUACCGUCGUAGU